rnacentral:pre_miRNA from 1 species
UAGGGUAUUACCUGGCCAUUUUGUUAAAUGCAGAUUCUGAUCCAGUAGGGCUGCAGUGGGGCCUGGGAUCCUGCAUUUUUAAUGAGCUCCCAUGUGAUGUCAAU